AGAGUUUGAUCCUGGCUCAGGAUGAACGCUAGCUACAGGCUUAACACAUGCAAGUCGAGGGGCAGCGAGAAGGAAGCUUGCUUCUUGUCGGCGACCGGCGCACGGGUGAGUAACGCGUAUCCAACCUUCCCCUUAGUAGGGCAUAGCCCGUAGAAAUGCGGAUUAAUACCCUAUGUUGUUCGAUGCGGACAUCUAAGUUGAACCAAAGGUUUACCGCUAAGGGAUGGGGAUGCGUCUGAUUAGGCAGCAGGCGGGGUAACGGCCCACCUGGCCUACGAUCAGUAGGGGUUCUGAGAGGAAGGUCCCCCACAUUGGAACUGAGACACGGUCCAAACUCCUACGGGAGGCAGCAGUGAGGAAUAUUGGUCAAUGGGCGCGAGCCUGAACCAGCCAAGUAAGCGUGCAGGACGACGGCCCUAUGGGUUGUAAACUGCUUUUAUGCGGGGAUAAAGUGACGUACGUGUACGUUUUUGUAGGUACCGCAUGAAUAAGGACCGGCUAAUUCCGUGCCAGCCGCGGC
rnacentral:rRNA from 1 species